AUGUGGGUCAAAAGUGAUGGAAGUAUCGGCAGGGGCGACGGGAUCCCUGAGCGCUUCUCUGGCUCCAGCUCUGGGGCUGAUCGAUUCCUGUCCAUCAGCAACGUCCAGGCUGAGGAUGAAGCCGAUUAUUACUGCGGGGCAGGUCAUACCACUAGCAGCUCCCUGUCCCAGGCUGUGGUGACUCAGCCUCCCUCUGUGUCUGCAGCCCUGGGGAGCUCGGCCAGACUCUCCUGCACCCUGAGCAGUCAGCACAGCAGCUACAAUAUUGGUUGGCACCAGCAGAGCCCCGGAAAGGCCCCUCGGUACCUCAUGUGGGUCGGCAGCAGUGGAGGUACAGGCAGGGGCGACGGGAUCCCUGAGCGCUUCUCUGGCUCCAGCUCUGGGGCUGAUCGAUUCCUGUCCAUCAGCAACGUCCAGCCUGAGGAUGAAGCCGAUUAUUUCUGUGGUUAUGGUUAUAGCAGUGGUGGUAGUUAUCGUUACCCACAGUGAUGCAUUCAGUGAGGAAGUGGGACAAAAACCUG